rnacentral:rRNA from 1 species
GAAAUUCCAAUCGAACCCGGAGAUAGCUGGUUCUCCCCGAAAUAGCUUUAGGGCUAGCGUCGGAAAGAACCUUAGUGAAGGUAGAGCACUGAAUGUGUGAUGGCCCCAUCCCGGGGUACUGAAUACAAUCAAACUGCGAAUGUCAUUAAGGAUGUCCGGCAGUCAGACUGUGAGUGAUAAGGUCCAUGGUCAAGAGGGAAACAGCCCAGACCGCCAGUUAAGGUCCCAAAAUACAGGCUAAGUGGAAAAGGAUGUGGGGAUGCCCAGACAACUAGGAGGUUGGCUCAGAAGCAGCCAUCCUUUAAAGAGUGCGUAACAGCUCACUAGUCGAGUGACCCUGCGCCGAAAAUGUACCGGGGCUAAGCCUGAUACCGAAACUGCGGAUUGUAGGAAACUAUAGUGGUAGGGGAGCGUUGUAUACGAGCAGAAGCCGUACCGUGAGGAGCGGUGGAUUGUAUAGAAGUGAGAAUGCCGGUGUGAGUAGCGAGAUGUAGGUGAGAAUCCUACACACCGAAAGCCCAAGGAUUCCAGGGGAAGGUUCGUCCGCCCUGGGUAAGUCGGGACCUAACGCGAGGCCGAAAGGCGUAGUGGAUGGAAAGCAGGCGAAAGAUUCCUGCACCCGUAUAUGGAGCGAAGGAGUGACGGAGACGGAUAGUGUGACCCUCUUAAUGGAUUGAGGGCGAAGCGAAGCGGCUGGUUACCAGGCAAAUCCGGUAACCAAAAGGCUAGAGCGUGACAGGUAAGCGAAAUCUUAGGAAAGUAGCGAAGCACAUGAUGACGGCUUCCAGGAAAAGCUUCUGGCAAUGCAUAUGCGGCCCGUACCAAAACCGACACAGGUGGGCAGGGAGAGAAUCCCGAGGUGAGCGAGAGAACUGUUGCCAAGGAACUCGGCAAAAUGACUCCGUAAGUUAGCGAGAAGGAGUGCUUAAGCAAUUAAGCCGCAGUGAAGAGGCCCAAGCGACUGUUUAACUAAAACACAGCUCUCUGCGAAGUCGCAAGACGAAGUAUAGGGGGUGACACCUGCCCGGUGCUGGAAGGUUAAGAGGAUCUGUUAAGAGCGAUCUGAAGCAGUGAUCCGAAGCCCCAGUGAACGGCGGCCGUAACUAUAACGGUCCUAAGGUAGCGAAAUUCCUUGUCAGGUAAGUUCUGACCCGCACGAAAGGUGUAACGAUUUGGGCGCUGUCUCGGCAGCAGACUCGGUGAAAUCUUAGUACCUGUGAAAAUGCAGGUUACCCGCAACUAGACGGAAAGACCCCAUGGAGCUUUACUGCAGCCUGAUAUUGAAUUCUGGUCAUACAUGUACAGGAUAGGUGGGAGACAAAGAGACGUGCACGCCAGUGUACGAGGAGUCGACGUUGGGAUACCACUCUUGUGUGACCGGGGUUCUAACCUGGUAUCGAGAACAGGUACGGGGAGAGUGUCAGGUGGGCAGUUUGACUGGGGCGGUCGCCUCCCAAAGAGUAACGGAGGCGCCCAAAGGUACGCUCAGAUUGGAUGGAAACCAAUCGUCGAGUGCAAUUGCAGAAGCGUGCUUGACUGUGAGACAGACAAGUCGAACAGGGACGAAAGUCGGGAAUAGUGAUCCGGCGGUGCCGAAUGGAAGGGCCGUCGCUCAACGGAUAAAAGCUACCCUGGGGAUAACAGGCUGAUCUCGCCCAAGAGUUCACAUCGACGGCGAGGUUUGGCACCUCGAUGUCGGCUCAUCGCAUCCUGGAGCUGGAUUCGGUUCCAAGGGUUGGGCUGUCCGCCCAUUAAAGCGGUACGCGAGCUGGGUUCAGAACGUCGUGAGACAGUUCGGUC